GUUUCUUAGAGAAAUGAACAAAAUUGC
rnacentral:piRNA from 1 species